GACAGAGGGGGCAAGCGUUGCUCGGAAUUACUGGGCGUAAAGGGCGCGUAGGCGGGAUGGCAAGUCGGUCGUGAAAUCCCUCGGCUCAACUGAGGAUCGUCGAUCGAUACUGCCGUUCUUGAGGAUUGCAGAGGAGACUGGAAUUCCCGGUGUAGCGGUGAAAUGUGUAGAGAUCGGGAGGAACACCGGUGGCGAAGGCGGGUCUCUGGGCAAUUCCUGACGCUGAGACGCGAAAGCGUGGGGAGCGAACAGG
rnacentral:rRNA from 1 species